UGAUCAUCAAGUGUAGUUUGUUCUUUCAUGUCUUCAUUGCGGUCAUCAAGUGGCAUGCUUUGUAUUUCAGAAGGUUGAAGAUUAGGCAAAGUACCUUUAUUUGUUUCACUAGAUUCCUCUCUACUUCUCUGAUGAUCCUCAUAAAAGGAACCAUGUGCUUUUACAUCUUCAGCAUGUUCCCCCACUUCAGAAGACAAAUUGCCGCCUGUUCUCUUUUGGACCUGCAGGUUUUCACAUGUUUCAGGGCCUUCUCCUACCUCAGACUGAGAAUCAGGCAAGAUCACAUCACUGUGGCGUAA
rnacentral:misc_RNA from 1 species